UGCACGGUAACGCUGAGACACGAGGUUUUAUAUAUCUGUUGCUAUAUAUUUACAUAUACAUGGCAUCUGCAAACAACGUUUAGCUUAAAACACUGAGCCAUAUUGUCGUCGUCACGAUUUCCUCGUUUUAGACAGGAAGCUCACGCGGCUGAUCGCACGUGACAGUGUAAACAAACAACAGAGCUCUUGCGCAGCAAGUCGUAGACUUUUGUUCUCUUUGAGAUUUCCAAGAUGCAUCUGUGGAGAUAUAAGUUAUCAUUGAGAGGCUACAGAGCCAUGAUUUUACAGCACAUGAUUUUCUGCCUUCUCCUGAUACACAGAGGGCGGCCUCUCAUUGUCGUUCCAGCAGUCGUGGCCACAGUUGGGGAAGAGGUUGUUUUGCCGUGCCACAUUAAACCAGAAAUGAAUGCUAAUGGCAUGAGGCUGGAGUGGGCGAGACCUGACCUAACGCCCGGGUUUGUUUACGAGUGGGCAGACGAAAAAGAACACGUGGUGAACAAACAGCC